rnacentral:rRNA from 3 species
ACGGAAGGCAGCAGUGGGGGAUAUUGCACAAUGGGGGAAACCCUGAUGCAGCGACGCCGCGUGAGUGAAGAAGUAUUUCGGUAUGUAAAGCUCUAUCAGCAGGGAAGAUAAUGACAGUACCUGACUAAGAAGCCCCGGCUAACUACGUGCCAGCAGCCGCGGUAAUACGUAGGGGGCAAGCGUUAUCCGGAUUUACUGGGUGUAAAGGGAGCGUAGGCGGCGACGUAAGUCAGAAGUGAAAGCCCGGGGCUCAACCGCGGGACUGCUUUUGAAACUGCAUUGCUAGAGUGUCGGAGAGGUAAGUGGAAUUCCUAGUGUAGCGGUGAAAUGCGUAGAUAUUAGGAGGAACACCAGUGGCGAAGGCGGCUUACUGGACGAUAACUGACGCUGAGGCUCGAAAGCGUGGGGAGCAAACAGGAUUAGAUACCCUGGUA